rnacentral:rRNA from 1 species
CCUACGGGAGGCAGCAGUAGGGAAUCUUCCACAAUGGACGAAAGUCUGAUGGAGCAACGCCGCGUGAGCGAAGAAGGCCUUCGGGUCGUAAAGCUCUGUUGUUAGGGAAGAACAAGUGCCAGAGUAACUGCUGGCACCUUGACGGUACCUAACCAGAAAGCCACGGCUAACUACGUGCCAGCAGCCGCGGUAAUACGUAGGUGGCAAGCGUUGUCCGGAAUUAUUGGGCGUAAAGCGCGCGCAGGUGGUUCCUUAAGUCUGAUGUGAAAGCCCACGGCUCAACCGUGGAGGGUCAUUGGAAACUGGGGGACUUGAGUGCAGAAGAGGAAAGUGGAAUUCCAAGUGUAGCGGUGAAAUGCGUAGAGAUUUGGAGGAACACCAGUGGCGAAGGCGACUAUCUGGUCUGUAACUGACACUGAGGCGCGAAAGCGUGGGGAGCAAACAGGAUUAGAUACCCUGGUAGUCCACACCCUAAACGAUGAGAACUAGACGUUGGGCCUUUUAAGGUUCAGUGUCUGAGCUAACGCAUUAAGUUCUCCACCUGGGAAGUACGAUCGCAAGGUUGAAACUCAAAGGAAUUGACGG